rnacentral:rRNA from 1 species
UUAUUUGAGAGUUUGAUCCUGGCUCAGGAUGAACGCUGGCGGCGUGCCUAACACAUGCAAGUUGAGCGAUUUACUUCGGUAAAGAGCGGCGGACGGGUGAGUAACGCGUGGGUAACCUACCCUGUACACACGGAUAACAUACCGAAAGGUAUGCUAAUACGGGAUAAUAUAUUUGAGA